GACGAACGCUGGCGGCGUGCCUAACACAUGCAAGUCGAACGGGGUUAGCCCUUCGGGACUAACUUAGUGGCGAACGGGUGAGUAACGCGUGAAGAACCUGCCUUUCAGUGGGGGACAACAGUUGGAAACGACUGCUAAUACCGCAUGACACUUCUUGGGGGCAUCUCUGAGAAGUCAAAGCUUUAUGUGCUGAAAGAUGGCUUCGCGUCUGAUUAGCUAGAUGGCGGGGUAACGCCCACCAUGGCGACGAUCAGUAGCCGGUCUGAGAGGAAGGUCCCCCACAUUGGAACUGAGACACGGUCCAAACUCCUACGGGAGGCAGCAGUGAGGAAUAUUGGUCAAUGGGCGAGAGCCUGAACCAGCCAAGUAGCGUGCAGGAUGACGGCCCUAUGGGUUGUAAACUGCUUUUAUAAGGGAAUAAAGUGAGUCUCGUGAGACUUUUUGCAUGUACCUUAUGAAUAAGGACCGGCUAAUUCCGUG
rnacentral:rRNA from 1 species